GACGAACGCUGGCGGCGUGCUUAACACAUGCAAGUCGAACGAUGAAGCCGGAGCUUGCUCCGGUGGAUUAGUGGCGAACGGGUGGGUAACACGUGAGCAAUCUGCCCUUGACUCUGGGAUAACUGCGGGAAACUGUAGCUAAUACCGGAUACGACACCUUGGGGCAUCCCAGGGUGUGGAAAGAAUUUCGGUCAAGGAUGAGCUCGCGGCCUAUCAGCUAGUUGGUGAGGUAAUGGCUCACCAAGGCGACGACGGGUAGCCGGCCUGAGAGGGUGACCGGCCACACGGGAACUGAGACACGGUCCAGACUCCUACGGGAGGCAGCAGUGGGGAAUAUUGCACAAUGGGCGAGAGCCUGAUGCAGCAACGCCGCGUGAGGGAUGAAGGCCUUCGGGUUGUAAACCUCUUUUAGCAGGGAAGAAGCGAAAGUGACGGUACCUGCAGAAAAAGCACCGGCUAACUACGUGCCAGCCGCCGCGGUAA
rnacentral:rRNA from 1 species